rnacentral:rRNA from 1 species
AAAUUGAAGAGUUUGAUCAUGGCUCAGAUUGAACGCUGGCGGCAGGCCUAACAGAUGCAAGUCGAACGGUAACAGGAAGCAGCUUGCUGCUUCGCUGACGAGUGGCGGACGGGUGAGUAAUGUCUGGGAAACUGCCUGAUGGAGGGGGAUAACUACUGGAAACGGUGGCUAAUACCGCAUAACGUCGCAAGACCAAAGAGGGGGACCUU